UACAGAGGUCUCAAGCGUUGUUCGGAUUCAUUGGGCGUAAAGCGCGUGUAGGCUGCUUUGCAAGUCGGGUGUGAAAGCCCCGGGCUCAACCUGGGAAGUGCACUCGAAACUGCAGAGCUCGAGUCUUGGAGAGGAAGGCGGAAUUCUCGGUGUAGAGGUGAAAUUCGUAGAUAUCGAGAGGAACACCGGUGGCGAAGGCGGCCUUCUGGACAAUGACUGACGCUGAGACGCGAAAGCGUGGGGAGCAAACAGG
rnacentral:rRNA from 1 species